AUAGUACUCUUGUGCCCUGCUCUGAGUCUGCAGUGAUCGGGACAGGCUAAACAUCACCUAGAGCAAACCACACAUGUGCCCCAACCGAGUUCUUUCCCUAGGUCUGGUUCUCAAAUGCUGGUGACAAAC
ensembl:snoRNA LOC120098675 small nucleolar RNA SNORA72